AUCUUCGGACCUCGCGCUAUUGGAGCGGCCGAUGUCGGAUUAGCUAGUAGGUGAGGUAAAGGCUCACCUAGGCGACGAUCCGUAGCUGGUCUGAGAGGAUGAUCAGCCACACUGGGACUGAGACACGGCCCAGACUCCUACGGGAGGCAGCAGUGGGGAAUUUUUGGACAAUGGGCGCAAGCCUGAUCCAGCCAUGCCGCGUGAGUGAAGAAGGCCUUCGGGUUGUAAAGCUCUUUCAGGUGGAAAGAAAUAGCGCUGUUUAAUAGAUGGCGUUGAUGACGGUACCACCAGAAGAAGCACCGGCUAACUACGUG
rnacentral:rRNA from 1 species